GACUUGAAAGUUUUGAUAUCCAUGGCAUUUUCUGACUCCCAGGAGAUGGAUGUGACUAGAUGAAAUCUGUAUAACUGGACAUUUUUGGUAGACUGUAAUAGCUAACAUUUAGGUGGUUGUAUUUUUCCUAAAGGAAGGGUUCUUGGAGAAGUUUUCAUAUUUAGUUUAAGCAAUGACAUUUUCUGUAGAUUGUGGACAAAGCCCUAGAAGAGCCAAAGUAUAGCUCACUGUAUGCUCAGCUAUGUCUGCGAUUGGCAGAAGAUGCACCAAACUUUGAUGGCCCAGCAGCAGAGGGUCAACCAGGACAGAAGCAAAGCACCACAUUCAGACGCCUCCUAAUUUCCAAAUUACAAGAUGAAUUUGAAAACCGAACUAGAAAUGUUGAUGGUAAGACUUAUAGCUGAUAAUAAGUACUACUGUAUAUUUUCAGCUUAAUUCUGAAUGUUGGCUUACUUCAUUGGUAUCUUUUUCAGUCUAUGAUAAGCGUGAAAAUCCCCUCCUCCCCGAGGAGGAGGAACAGAGAGCCAUUGCUAAGAUCAAGAUGUUGGGAAACAUCAAAUUCAUUGGAGAGCUUGGCAAGCU
rnacentral:lncRNA from 1 species